GUACACAAGCCCUACAGAAAACCUGACACGACUUCGCGCGGAUCAUUUCAGCCAUGAAAAAGUUCUCCGGUUCUUUGGUUCUGUUGUGCAUUGCUGUCUCAUUCUUGCUGUUGACUUGUAAUCCGGAAGUGGAAGGUGCGGCACCCAUGGGUCCAGGCUCCAUAAACGUGGCCAAAAGAUCCAGAUCGGAGUUUUUUCAUUCUCGAAGGAGCAUCUGUGAGGCAGCACGUGCUCUGAAUUGCCUGAGAGAUGACUAACACUAACAACAGCUGGAAACACGAAGCAUAAAGUAACCUGGUCUAAAUUGUCAAUAAAGUAAAUGACUGUUUAAUGA